GGUCAACAAACUGCACGCAAUUCAUCAUUGGAGGAUAGGUCGAGGAUAAAAUAUGUGCAGGGACAUAUCCAAGCUUUGCUUGAAGCUGUAAGGAAUGGAUCAAAUGCCAGAGGCUAUUUUAUAUGGUCCUUCUUGGACUCCCUUGAGCUAUUGGGCGGCUAUGAAUCAAGCUUUGGCCUAUACUACAUGGAUUUGGACGACCCUGAUUUAAAAAGACAACCCAAACUCUCUGCUCAUUGGUACUCCCAAUUUCUAAAGAGCAAGAACCUCACCAGCUUAGAUGGAUUUCUUGAAUCCCUUUCCCAUGGUUACCAUUCUCAGUAAACUUUAUUUUACAUAGUAAAAUACUUAUGUUUAGAGCUUGUAGCUUAAGUGGUUAAGAGCACAUACCCCUCUCCUCCAAUAUUGCUUGUAUCCAAAAUAAUUAUGCAACAUUAAGAUACAUCACUUUCAGUGGCGAAGCGAAGAAUUAUGUCAAGGAGGGUCAACUUUAAAUAGUUUUAUAAUUACAAUGAACUUAGUUUUUAUAGGAAAA